rnacentral:tRNA from 1 species
GAAGGUAUAGCUCAGUGGUAGAGCGCCUGCCUAUGAAUGCACAAGGUCCUGGGUUCAAUCCCCAGCACAUCCA